CUUGAGGGGAGCUGCUCCUAGUACGAGAGGACCGGAGUGGACGCACCUCUGGUGUUCCGGUUGUCACGCCAGUGGCACUGCCGGGUAGCUAUGUGCGGACGGGAUAACCGCUGAAAGCAUCUAAGCGGGAAGCCCACCCCAAGAUGAGGCCUCCCUGGACCCUUGAGGUCCCUGAAGGGCCCUGGAAGACUACCAGGUUGAUAGGCCGGGUGUGGAAGCCCAGCAAUGGGUGAAGCUAACCGGUACUAAUUGCCCGUGAGGCUUGGCCAUAUAACACCCAACCCGUU
rnacentral:rRNA from 1 species